UACGGAAGGGGCAAGCGUUGUUCGGAAUCAUUGGGCGUAAAGGGCGCGUAGGCGGUCGCGUGUGUCUGCUGUGAAAGCACACGGCUCAACCGUGUGAAGUCGGUAGAAACUGCGGGACUUGAGGCUGGGAGAGGUUGGUGGAAUUCCCGGUGUAGCGGUGAAAUGCGUAGAUAUAGGGGAGAACACUCGUGGCGAAGGCGGCCAGCUGGACCAGCCCUGACGCUGAGGCGCGAAAGCGUGGGGAGCAAACAGG
rnacentral:rRNA from 1 species